AGUGUUCUGUGCUUAAUGAAUUCAGUUGAUCUGAGCAAGUAUUUGUAAAGUUCCAGUUGUCAACAUCAUCUUCAGGCUCAUCCUAAAAAGGCAUAGAUGCCAGCUGUACUGUUGAGUUGGCAGAUUGAAAAGAAGUGAUGUUGGAAAACAUAGGUGAACAUUCCUCCAAAAAAGGAAAUGAGCUUUUUGAAACAUCAGGAAUUGUUCUUCUUAGUCUCAAUAGUUUUUUCUCUAGGAAUCAGCCUUGAAACUUCAGACCUAAAUUCAGUGUUAGUGCUUCUAGUAAAAAUGUCUAUGAGAGAAUUAACAACUUCAGUCCUUUUUAGUGACAUUGGGAGCUCCAGUUCUAGUUGCUUGUUUUGAUUCAUUAAUAAGUACAUACAAGACAGUGCAGCCUCUUUAAAUACUCUCAAGGAAGCAGUGCUUUGACAUAUUUCUUGGAUAUAUGCUAACAAUUCUUUUAAAAAUGUGAAAAUAGAAAGUCUGUUUAGUCAUUUAAAAAAAAUUAAAAAAAAUGUUACUAUAUAAGUUAACCAUUAAUCUUAUAGUCAUACCUGAGCAUUGUCAGAACUAGUUAAUUUUUCUAACAAUAUUUUUAGAUCUCAAGCAGCAUAAAGAAAGUAGGUUUCUUUUUUUUUGUUUGUCUUAUGAUUAGCAAGAGUGUUGUCAUAUGCUCUAUGACUUAUGACCUUUAGUAGACCUAACACAAACACAGUAAGAAAAAAUAUUUAUUCUCAACCAGAUUUAAGACUAGCUCCUUGAACAAUAAUCAAUGCUGCUAAUUUGGCCACCAUUUCGAAUAUGAUGUUCCACAAUCAAAUCCAAUAUAUUUUCACUAAACUUGUACUUAAUACAAAAAUUAAUCAACCUGAAUGUGCAUCAUCCUACUUUUU
rnacentral:sRNA from 1 species